rnacentral:rRNA from 2 species
AGUUUGAUCCUGGCUCAGAUUGAACGCUGGCGGCAGGCCUAACACAUGCAAGUCGAGCGGCAGCGGGUCCUUCGGGAUGCCGGCGAGCGGCGGACGGGUGAGUAAUGCCUAGGAAUCUGCCUGGUAGUGGGGGAUAACUCGGGGAAACUCGAGCUAAUACCGCAUACGUCCUACGGGAGAAAGCGGGGGAUCUUCGGACCUCGCGCUACCAGAUGAGCCUAGGUCGGAUUAGCUAGUUGGUGAGGUAAAGGCUCACCAAGGCGACGAUCCGUAGCUGGUCUGAGAGGAUGAUCAGCCACACUGGAACUGAGACACGGUCCAGACUCCUACGGGAGGCAGCAGUGGGGAAUAUUGGACAAUGGGCGAAAGCCUGAUCCAGCCAUGCCGCGUGUGUGAAGAAGGUCUUCGGAUUGUAAAGCACUUUAAGUUGGGAGGAAGGGCAGUAAGUUAAUACCUUGCUGUUUUGACGUUACCGACAGAAUAAGCACCGGCUAACUUCGUGCCAGCA